rnacentral:tRNA from 1 species
GAGGGUAUAGUUCAAUGGUAGAGUACAUGCUUAGCAUACAUGAGGUCAUGGGUUCAAUCCCAGUACCUCCA